GACGAACGCUGGCGGCGUGCUUAACACAUGCAAGUCGAACGAAGUGGCGAACGGGUGAGUAACGCGUAAUCAACCUGCCCUUCAGCGGGGGACAACAGUUGGAAACGACUGCUAAUACCGCAUACUGAAGGAGGGGAUUGCGUCUGAUUAGCUAGUUGGAGGGGUAACGGCCCACCAAGGCGAUGAUCAGUAGCAGGUCUGAGAGGAUGAACGGCCACAUUGGGACUGAGACACGGCCCAGACUCCUACGGGAGGCAGCAGUAGGGAAUCUUCCGCAAUGGACGAAAGUCUGACGGAGCAACGCCGCGUGAGUGAUGACGGCCUUCGUGUUGUAAAGCUCUGUUAAUCGGGACGCGGUACCGGAAUAGAAAGCCACGGCUAACUACGUGCCAGCAGCCGCGGUAAUUC
rnacentral:rRNA from 1 species